GACCGCUGGAUCGCACAAAUCCUCCUAUGCACUAUGAUUUUUGCCCCUUGGACCAUGGCAGUCCAUAGAACACAUGUGGACCGUGACUUCCUCCAGUAGUCCACCAUGGAUCGUGUCACAUGGACGGCUUGGGCUGCACGUCCGCAUGCCUAUGCCCAUGCUGGGCCAUGUGCGUCCAUAUGCAUCCGCACACCUGUGCACUGGCCCAUCGCACAGCAGGCCCCGCUGGGCCGUGCAUGCUGCAGGCUGCAUGCC
rnacentral:lncRNA from 1 species